rnacentral:rRNA from 1 species
UCGCCGCCCGUGACUCGGGAGAAGUCCAUUGAACCUUAUCAUUUAGAGGAAGGAGAAGUCGUAACAAGGUUUCCGUAGGUGAACCUGCGGAAGGAUCAUUG